rnacentral:rRNA from 1 species
AAUGAACGCUGGCGGCAGGCCUAACACAUGCAAGUCGAACGGAUCCUUCGGGAUUAGUGGCGGACGGGUGAGUAACGCGUGGGAACAUACCCAAAGGUACGGAAUAGCCUCGGGAAACUGGGAGUAAUACCGUAUGUGCUCGAAAGAGGAAAGAUUUAUCGCCUUUGGAAUUGGCCCGCGUUGGAUUAGGUAGUUGGUGGGGUAAUGGCCUACCAAGCCGACGAUCCAUAGCUGGUUUGAGAGGAUGAUCAGCCACACUGGGGCUGAGACACGGCCCAGACUCCUACAGGAGGCAGCAGUGGGGCAUCUUAGAGAAUGGGGGAAACCCUGAUCUAGCCAUGCCGCGUGAUCGAUGAAGGCCUUAGGGUUGUAAAGAUCUUUCAGGUGGGAAGAUAAUGACUGUACCACCAGAAGAAGCCCCGGCUAACUCCGUGCCAGCCGCCGCAGUAA